GACGAACGCUGGCGGCGUGCCUAAUACAUGCAAGUAGGACGCAGUUGCGAACGGGUGAGUAACGCGUAGGUACCUGCCUAUUAGAGGCGGAUAAAUAUUGGCAAAGAUAGCUAAUACAGCAUACUAGUAGAUGGACCUGCGUUGUAUUAGCUAGUAGGUAGGGUAAUGGCCUACCUAAGCGACGAUACAUAGCCCACCUGAAAGGUGGAGCGACGACAUUGGGACAGAGUCACGGGCCAGACUCCGGCGGGAAGCAGCCGUAGGGGAGCUUAGGCAAUGGGGGGAACCCUGACCGGGCAACUCCGCGAGAGUGAAGAAGGUUCUCGGAUCGGAAAAGUCUGUUGUUAAUGAAGCGGUACUUAACCAGAAAGGGACGGCUAACUACGUGCCAGCAGCCGCGGUAAUUC
rnacentral:rRNA from 1 species